rnacentral:tRNA from 1 species
UCUAAUAUGGCAGAUAAAUGCACCAAAUUUAAGCUUUGUUUAUAAAUAAAAAUAUUUUUUUAGAA